rnacentral:rRNA from 1 species
CGCAUCUGUGCAUGCAGCAUAUCAAUAAGCGGAGGAAAAGAAACUAACAAGGAUUCCCCUAGUAACGGCGAGUGAAGCGGGAAGAGCUCAAAUUUGAAAUCUUAAAGGGUUUCCCUUUACGAAUUGUAGUUUAAAGAAGUGUUUUCUGUUGAGGUUUUGGUAAAAGUUCUUUGGAAUAGGACAUCAUAGAGGGUGAGAAUCCCGUAUUUGACCUUUACUUUCAACUUUGUGAUACACUUUCAAAGAGUCGGAUUGUUUGGGAAUGCAGUCCAAAAUGGGUGGUAAAUUUCAUCUAAAGCUAAAUAUUGGCGAGAGACCGAUAGCGAACAAGUACCGUGAGGGAAAGAUGAAAAGAACUUUGAAAAGAGAGUUAAACAGUACGUGAAAUUGUCAAAAGGGAAGCGUUUGACACCAGUGUUGUUUUUCUGAAAAUCAAUUAAAGAACUGUUUAUGCUAAGUUGUUUAGACUUUAUCAGCUAACUGUUUAGUUUUGAGCUUUUCUUUAAUGCACUUUUCAGUUAACAAGUCAACAUCAAUUUCUUUUGCUGUAAAAAAGCUUGAGGAAGGUGGCUUGAGAUUCGUCUUAAGUGUUUAUAGCCUCUUGCCUAUGCAGUCGGAGAGAUUGAGGUCUGCAGGCGUAGAUCCUUCGGGGCUAAAUGCAUUUGCGCUAAGUUAUAGCAUUUUAUAGACAACUUGUUGACUAUGAUUUGUCUUGUAGCUUACUCGCUUAUGUUAUUUUACCUACGCUUAGGAUGUUGAACGCGCACAGAGUCUC